GGGGACGUUACGGAUUCGACAGGCACAGUUCGAGCUUGAAUUGCGUUUCGUAGGUUACGUCUACGUUAAAACGUUACAGUUAAAUAUAACUGCUAAAAACGAAAACAACUCUUACGCUUUAGCUGCCUAAAAACAGUUAGCGUAGAUCCUCUCGGCAUCGCCAUGUGCUCGAGUAAGGGUCUCAAAUUUAGUGGGAUACGUUAAACUUUUCCGUCUGUAAAGUUUAAAAGAGAUCAUCAGACUAGCAAUACAGAAUGCCUGUCACUCGGCAAGCUGUAAAGCGAAACCUCAAAUGAGUUGACUAUGAACGUAGAUUUUUAAGUGUCGAUGUGUUUGGACGCGGGUUCGACUCCCGCCGUCUCCAU
rnacentral:tmRNA from 1 species